GUAUUAGCAGCACAAAUGGGUGGAAACUGAAUCAACUAUCCAGCCUCCAACAUAUGAGCUGGAAUAAGCCGGCUCCAGGAACAUUUUCCCUGUGUUUUAUGCCCACUGCAGGAGGUGGUGGUUUGUGUCCAGGAAAGCUGGAGAGAAAACCUAGCAGGUGAUAACAGUGCAAACAGAUUGAGAGGAUGGCAUGGAGCUGGAAAAAAUGCCAGAUAUCUCCAAAUCCAAGUGCCUACACUUAGAAUCAUCUGUCACAGUGAUUGCACCAAGAGUCUGCUGACUGACGGUUCUCAGAUAUUGCUCUUACCAUCCCUUUCCGUGUCACUUUACCAUGAUCACACAGGUUGGGACGGGCUGUAAAUGUGAGAACAAGGAGACUUGCAGUAACGUGCAUCCUACCCAGUGUGGACGUUUGAACCAGAAAGCCCUGUCUGAGAGAUGGCUAAAUUUAGGCGCUUUAGGAGACAAUGAUGCACGAGCCAUGGCUAACACUGAGAAAAGCUGCUGAGAAUCUAUACUGAUUGUAUGGUGAACCACUCUGCUUCCUAACUGUGCCUCCCAGUCUGUCUGUGUCAGGUACACCUCAUUGCUGUGUCAGCUCCCCCCCCCCCCCCCCCCCAUUAAAAAUGAUCAUCUGUGAAGAUAGCCAAGAGGCUGUGUCCAUGUGCGAUGGCUGUGAGCAAAUGUGAACCUUUCCCCUGAGGUCAAGAAUCUUUGGAUAAAGCCUUUGGCAGCUGGGAGCUGGCUGUGACCACUGAUCACCCCUCUGCGGGUGGACAGGGCUCCCUUAAAAGCUGUCCCAGAGGGGACCAGAUCUCAGAGGAUCUUUGUCCUGUUUGGAUCUAGAGGCAAGAGGAUUGCAACAUGAUAUCUGUAACAAGACAGAAGUCAAAAAUGCAGAGAGCUGUGCAGGUUAGUACCUGAAAUGUCUCUGCACGUUAAUUAUUCCUGUUCAGCAGCAGCUCUAACAGCUUUCUUUUGACAGUUAAAGAGAAAUGUAAUAAGAAGAUGAGCUGAAAAUGACGACUGCUGUCUCAAUAAGCUGCAGAAGCUCCAUUAAUGUUCAGUAUUGGAACAUACUUUUUCCCCAUCUCUAAAACAUUUGUGCUUGCACUGAGUGUCACAGCACCCUGAGUGUGUGCCUGUGUCUCCAGCAGGCUCAACACUUUGGUGGUCUCUUCCAUGAGCGGAUAGUGGCUGCUUCUUGAGAAUGUUUCACUGAAAGACAAAGCACAGGAUUGCAUAAUAUAUCUUCAGCAUGUCUCUGGGCAGGUUGCUGAUAACCUGUGUUUCAGCCCGUUCCUCCUGCUGUUUGGAGCACACAUCUGCUCUGCACACUGUAACUGAGGAGCCCACUUUCUGCACGGAGAUCAAGGGAUCUGAUGAAUGGCACAGAGACAUAAUUUAUAGGGAAGUAACCUGAGAAACAGCACUGGAAUCUUUUCACCCAUAAGUAAUGUGUCUUUUCACGUGAUUUUGAAGAUCUGA
rnacentral:lncRNA from 1 species